rnacentral:rRNA from 1 species
GACGAACGCUGGCGGCGUGCUUAACACAUGCAAGUCGAACGGUAAGGCUCCAGCUUGCUGGGGUACACGAGUGGCGAACGGGUGAGUAACACGUGGGUGACCUGCCCUGCACUUCGGGAUAAGCCUGGGAAACUGGGUCUAAUACCGGAUAGGACCGCACCGUGAGGGUGUGGUGGAAAGUUUUUUCGGUGUGGGAUGGGCCCGCGGCCUAUCAGCUUGUUGGUGGGGUAAUGGCCUACCAAGGCGGCGACGGGUAGCCGGCCUGAGAGGGUGGACGGCCACAUUGGGACUGAGACACGGCCCAGACUCCUGCGGGAGGCAGCAGUGGGGAAUAUUGCACAAUGGGCGGAAGCCUGAUGCAGCGACGCCGCGUGGGGGAUGACGGCCUUCGGGUUGUAAACUCCUUUCACUAUCGACGAAGGGUUUCUGACGGUAGAUGGAGAAGAAGCACCGGCUAACUACGUACCAGCAGCCGCGGUAAUACGUAGGGUGCGAGCGUUGUCCGGAAUUACUGGGCGUAAAGAGCUCGUAGGUGGUUUGUCGCGUCGUCUGUGAAAUUCCGGGGCUUAACUCCGGGCGUGCAGGCGAUACGGGCAUAACUUGAGUACUGUAGGGGAGACUGGAAUUCCUGGUGUAGCGGUGAAAUGCGCAGAUAUCAGGAGGAACACCGGUGGCGAAGGCGGGUCUCUGGCAGUAACUGACGCUGAGGAGCGAAAGCAUGGGGAGCGAACAGGAUUAGAUACCCUGGUAGUCCAUGCCGUAAACGGUGGGCGCUAGGUGUGGGUUUCCUUCCACGGGAUCCGUGCCGUAGCUAACGCAUUAAGCGCCCCGCCUGGGGAGUACGGCCGCAAGGCUAAAACUCAAAGGAAUUGACGGGGGCCCGCACAAGCGGCGGAGCAUGUGGAUUAAUUCGAUGCAACGCGAAGAACCUUACCUGGGCUUGACAUAUACAGGAUCGCGCCAGAGAUGGUGUUUCCCUUGUGGCUUGUAUACAGGUGGUGCAUGGUUGUCGUCAGCUCGUGUCGUGAGAUGUUGGGUUAAGUCCCGCAACGAGCGCAACCCUUGUCUUAUGUUGCCAGCACGUUGUGGUGGGGACUCGUAAGAAACUGCCGGGGUUAACUCGGAGGAAGGUGGGGAUGACGUCAAAUCAUCAUGCCCCUUAUGUCCAGGGCUUCACACAUGCUACAAUGGUCGGUACAGUGGGUUGCCAGUCCGUGAGGGCGAGCUAAUCCCGCAAAGCCGGUCUCAGUUCGGAUCGGGGUCUGCAACUCGACCCCGUGAAGUCGGAGUCGCUAGUAAUCGCAGAUCAGCAACGCUGCGGUGAAUACGUUCCCGGGCCU